UACGGGGGAGGGCGUGUCGUAUUGAAUUGUGGCGUAAAGGGUGCGUAGGCGGUUUGAUAAGUCAUCUGUGAAAUCUCUGGGCUCAACCCAGAGUCUGCAGGCGAAACUGCCGGGCUUGAGUAUGGGAGAGGUGAGUGGAAUUCCUGGUGUAGCGGUGAAAUGCGUAGAUAUCAGGAGGAACACCUGUGGCGAAAGCGGCUCACUGGACCAUAACUGACGCUGAUGCACGAAAGCUAGGGGAGCAAACAGG
rnacentral:rRNA from 1 species